ACCACUCCAGUAUCCCUGCACAUUGAAUAAGGUACUGGUACUGUCCUGUAUAUACUACCACUCCAGUAUCCCUGCAUAUUGAAUAAGGUACUGGUACUGACCUGUAUAUACUACCACUCCAGUAUCCCUGCAUAUUGAAUAAGGUACUGGUACUGACCUGUAUAUACUACCACUCCAGUAUCCCUGCACAUUGAAUAAGGUACUGGUACUGACCUGUAUAUACUACCACUCCAGUAUCCCUGCACAUUGAAUAAGGUACUGGUACUGUCCUGUAUAUACUACCACUCCAGUAUCCCUGCACAUUGAAUAAGGUACUGGUACUGACCUGUAUAUACUACCACUCCAGUAUCCCUGCACAUUGAAUAAGGUACUGGUACUGUCCUGUAUAUACUACCACUUCAGUAUCCCUGCACAUUGAAUAAGGUACUGGUACUGACCUGUAUAUACUACCACUCCAGUAUCCCUGCACAUUGAAUAAGGUACUGGUACUGACCUGUAUAUACUACCACUCCAGUAUCCCUGCAUAUUGAAUAAGGUACUGGUACUGACCUGUAUAUACUACCACUCCAGUAUCCCUGCAUAUUGAAUAAGGUACUGGUACUGACCUGUAUAUACUACCACU